rnacentral:rRNA from 1 species
AUUGAACGCUGGCGGCAGGCCUAACACAUGCAAGUCGAGCGGAUGAAGGGAGCUUGCUCCUGGAUUCAGCGGCGGACGGGUGAGUAAUGCCUAGGAAUCUGCCUGGUAGUGGGGGAUAACGUCCGGAAACGGGCGCUAAUACCGCAUCCGUCCUGAGGGAGAAAGUGGGGGAUCUUCGGACCUCACGCUAUCAGAUGAGCCUAGGACGGAUUAGCUAGUUGGUGGGGUAAAGGCCUACCAAGGCGACGAUCCGUAACUGGUCUGAGAGGAUGAUCAGUCACACUGGAACUGAGACACGGUCCAGACUCCUACGGGAGGCAGCAGUGGGGAAUAUUGGACAAUGGGCGAAAGCCUGAUCCAGCCAUGCCGCGUGUGUGAAGAAGGUCUUCGGAUUGUAAAGCACUUUAAGUUGGGAGGAAGGGCAGUAAGUUAAUACCUUGCUGUUUUGACGUUACCAACAGAAUAAGCACCGGCUAACUUCGUG